rnacentral:lncRNA from 1 species
GGCGAGGGAACUCUAUAAAAAUAACAGGAAUCACAAGUAAAACUACUAGUCGUCUGCAUCUUCUAACUGAAUCUUCGAACCUGUGUCACUGAAAGGGUAGAAGAUUUUGGGGUGAGAACAAACCACACGUUCUCAGUAGGGAAUGGGAAUGCCGUAAAAGUAAUGAAUUUAACGCAAAUAAUUAACUUUACUCAAAAAAACUAUUUUGUUAACCCUUUGGAAAUACUUUUAUUUCUACUUUAGAUAAAUAAUUAUUUUUCUUUAAAUUUCUAAACUCAAAAUAAAUUUUAAAUAUAAAACUAGUCACAUUUUCUGUCUCUCAGCCACAUAGUUAUUCCUCAGUCAAAUGUCAACUCGUAAUCACAUUAAUACACUCACAAACAAAUAGUGCAAGCAAGAGAUUCAAUUCAAUGUACAAGCAAGUCACAACAAGACAAACAAUACAAGCAGCACAAACACAUAGAAAAUAUAACAAGUAAAACAAGACCAAAUACAAAUGCGCAAUCAAUAUGAUAAAGUCAUGAUCGUACCAAAAGUAAGGAGUUACUAACCUGUUCUCCUUAUUUACUAUUUAAUAUUGAGCCUUUAGGUCGAUAUCGCGUUUCAGUUUAUAAGAAAAUACCAGAAAAUUAUUUGUAGUAAUUAAAAUCACACAAUUAUUAAUAAUAGUAAAUGCUAUACAAAUGAAUUCAAUAUAAAACUCAAAUACAAUACAUAUCCCUCUGGAUAAAAUAAAACUUAAAGCAACAAGGGUGAGGGAACUCUAUAAAAAUAACAGGGAUCACAAGUUAAUCUACUAGUCGUCUGCAUCUUCUAACUGAAUCUUCGAACCUGUGUCACUGAAAGGGUGGAAGAUUUUGGGGUGAGAACAAACCACACGUUCUCAGUAGGGAAUGGGAAUGCCGUAAAAGUAAUGAAUUUAAUACAAAUAAUUAACUUACUUAGUAAAACUAUUUUGUUAACCCUUUGGAAAUACUUUUAUUUCUACUUUAGAUAAAUAAUUACUUUUCUUUAAAUUUCUAAACUCAAAACAAAACUUAAAUAUAAAACUAGUCACAUUUUCUGUCUCUCAGCCACAUAGUUAAUCCUCAGUCAAAAGUCAACUCGUAAUCACUUUAAUACACUCACAAACAGAUAGUGCAAGCAAGAGAUUCAAUUCAAUGCACA